rnacentral:rRNA from 1 species
GAUGCACGCUGGCGGCGUGCCUAAUACAUGCAAGUCGAGCGAACGGAAGAGAAGCUUGCUUCUCUGAUGUUAGCGGCGGACGGGUGAGUAACACGUGGAUAACCUACCUAUAAGACUGGGAUAACUUCGGGAAACCGUAGCUAAUACCGGAUAAUAUUUUGAACCGCAAGGUUCAAAAGUGAAAGACGGUCUUGCUGUCACUUAUAGAUGGAUCCGCGCUGCAUUAGCUAGUUGGUAAGGUAACGGCUUACCAAGGCAACGAUGCAUAGCCGACCUGAGAGGGUGAUCGGCCACACUUGAACUGAGACACGUUCCAUACUCCUACGGGAGGCAGCAGUAGGGAAUCUUCCGCAAUGGGCGAAAGCCUGACGGAGCAACGCCGCGUGAGUGAUGAAGGUCUUCGGAUCGUAAAACUCUGUUAUUAGGGAAGAACAUAUGUGUAAGUAACUGUGCACAUCUUGACGGUACCUAAUCAGAAAGCCACGGCUAACUACGUG